rnacentral:rRNA from 1 species
GCGUGAGUGAUGACGGCCUUAGGGUUGUAAAGCUCUUUCAGCAGUGAAGAUAAUGACAUUAACUGCAGAAGAAGCCCCGGCUAACUUCGUGCCAGCAGCCGCGGUAAUACGAAGGGGGCUAGCGUUGUUCGGAAUCACUGGGCGUAAAGCGCACGUAGGCGGAUUGAUAAGUUAGGGGUGAAAUCCCAAGGCUCAACCUUGGAACUGCCUUUGAUACUGUCAGUCUUGAGUUCGAGAGAGGUGAGUGGAACUCCGAGUGUAGAGGUGAAAUUCGU